rnacentral:rRNA from 1 species
UAUUGGUCAAUGGCCUAACGGCUGAACCAGCAACUUGGAGGAAUGUAUAGGGAAAGCUGGUAAAAUGUGAUGUACCUAGUAGUAUUAAUCCUUAAUUAAUAUGAUAUUAACUAAGUUAAUUAAAGUUCUAAGUGGAUAUAUGAUUAUGACAAUAUUUACUUAUGUCUUGACCAAGUCACGUGCCAGCAGUCGCGGUAAUACGUGGAAGAUUAGUGUUAUUCAUUUUUAACAGGUUUAAAGGGUACCUAGACGGUUAAUUAAGCACUAAAAUGUACUAAUUAACUAGAGUUUAAUGUAAGAAAGAUUGAGUACGGUGAGUGUAGAGAUAAAAUUCUAUGAUACCACUUAGAAACUGGUAAAGGCGAAGGCAACUUUUUAUGCAAAAACUGACGUUGAAGGACGAAGG